GUCCACGCCGUAAACGAUGAUAACUAGGUGUUGGGAGAAUUGACCCUUUCAGUACCGUAGCACACGCGCUAAGUUAUCCGCCUGGGGAGUACGGCCGCAAGGCUAAAACUCAAAGGAAUUGACGGGGCCCGCACAAGAGGUGGAGUAUGUGGUUUAAUUCGAAGCAACGCGAAGAACCUUACCUAGGCUUGACAUACCGUGAAAAGUGUAGAGAUGCAUAAUAGUCGCAAGACACACGGAUACAGGUGCUGCAUGGCUGUCGU
rnacentral:rRNA from 1 species